AAUGAACGCUGGCGGCAUGCCUUACACAUGCAAGUCGAACGGCAGCAUGACCUAGCUUGCUAGGUUGAUGGCGAGUGGCGAACGGGUGAGUAAUGCAUCGGAACGUGCCUUUUAGUGGGGGAUAACGUAGCGAAAGUUACGCUAAUACCGCAUAUUCUCUGAGGAGGAAAGCAGGGGACCUUCGGGCCUUGCGCUAGAAGAGCGGCCGAUGUCGGAUUAGCUAGUUGGUGAGGUAAAGGCUCACCAAGGCAACGAUCCGUAGCGGGUCUGAGAGGAUGAUCCGCCACACUGGGACUGAGACACGGCCCAGACUCCUACGGGAGGCAGCAGUGGGGAAUUUUGGACAAUGGGCGCAAGCCUGUUCCAGCCAUGCCGCGUGAGUGAAGAAGGCCUUCGGGUUGUAAAGCUCUUUCGGCUGGGAAGAAAUCGCACCCUCUAAUACAGGGUGUGGAUGACGGUACCAGCAGAAGAAGCACCGGCUAACUACGUG
rnacentral:rRNA from 1 species